rnacentral:rRNA from 1 species
GACGAACGCUGGCGGCGUGCUUAACACAUGCAAGUCGAACGGAAAGGCCCUGCUUUUGUGGGGUGCUCGAGUGGCGAACGGGUGAGUAACACGUGAGUAACCUGCCCUUGACUUUGGGAUAACUUCAGGAAACUGGGGCUAAUACCGGAUAGGAGCUCCUGCUGCAUGGUGGGGGUUGGAAAGAUUCGGCGGUUGGGGAUGGACUCGCGGCUUAUCAGCUUGUUGGUGGGGUAGUGGCUUACCAAGGCUUUGACGGGUAGGCGGCCUGGGAGGGUGGCCGGCCACAUUGGGACUGGGAUACGGCCCAGACUCCUACGGGAGGCAGCAGGGGGGAAUAUUGCACAAUGGGCGGAAGCCUGAUGCAGCAACGCCGCGUGCGGGAUAACGGCCUUCGGGUUGUAAACCGCUUUCGCCUGUGACAAAGCGUGAGUGACGGUAAUGGGUAAAGAAGCAACGGCUAACUACGUG